UCAAAUUGAUUGAAAGGGGAGAUUCUGUUCCGUGAAACAGCAUUGUACGUGGCCCAUCCAUUCACAAAACACCCUGGAGGAGCCAUGGCUACUGAGGAGGAGCGGCGAGAUAAAUUCUUUUCUCUAGCAUCCUGUGUCUGAGGAUCACAACGAGCUUUGCACAUAAUUAUGGCUGCGAGUCUGUCACAGAGUCUGUGACUUUCCGGGACCUCCAUGACUUCUGCAGUGGCAGGAUAGGAGGAGUCCUCCUUCAAGAAACCACCUGCUGAGGCAAAGCUUCAUUACCCAACCAAACCUCCAUCACUCAUACCCGUAGGGUGACCCCUCACCAGGCAUAUCCUGCACAAUUCCUAUGACUAACCAAAACAAGACUCAGUACGGGGAAUUAUGGGUCAACAUUAUAAUUUAUGUAAGUGAAGUUGGCCCCAGUUGGCUUUUCCCCUGCUUCCCAGGAGAGGGAGAGAAGAGCUCCAUCUCUACGUCAUCUCGCCCUAGGGCUUGCGCUGUCUUUGUUACCCCAAGAUAUCAUGCUGACAGAUGUUUAUCAUUAUUUUAAAUGGUAAAAUGUUUUGUAGCAGCAUCACAAUUACAAUACAUCCAUCAUUUAGGUGGCGCUUCCUAUCUUCAAAGCAUCGUGUGAAUGUUCAUAGCUGAGUUUUGCCUCAUCAAGCAGUGCUGGGAGGUUAACCACCCCAGCAGAGGCAGCUGAAGGCAUUAGGCCUUUGCCCUCAGGAAGGCAUCAUUGCCUUACACUGAAGAGUCAAAGGGAAGUGGCUUUUACUACAAAUGUGUAGCGGGUGAGCCAUCUUGGUUCGGAGGGAGGUAAGACCAUGGUGCCACCCACAGGUGGGGAACCAAAGGCAGAUCCUGGAGUCUUGAACAGAAUCGUACUUCUGAGGCACUAUCAAUGCCAAAACAAUAGCCACUGGAGGUGAAUGGAAAAUAGAAAUCCACUCUGGGAUGAAAUUUUAAGCGGUGUGAAAUUUUACAUGGAAGGGAUGGUCUCUAAAAAUUCCAUUUUGAGGGCACUUAAAAGAAUUUUUCAGCUUGUCAG